GCCAGGCAUGGUGGCACAUGCUUGUAAUCCCAGCUACUUAGGAGGCUGAGGCAGGAAGAUUGUAAAUUCCAGGACAGCCUGGCAACUUGGCAAGACCCUGUGUCAA
rnacentral:sRNA from 1 species